rnacentral:lncRNA from 1 species
CGUAAAUAGACGACCAUGGGUAGUUCAGGUGCGCUUAAAGUCAACUACAACUAGAAGGCAUGCCAAUCUUGCCACCAAUAAACCUUUGANGGGUGCGGGUCAAAUCCGCAUCUUUGCGCCCUUUACUUACUUCAAGGGAUGGUGCGUCCGAUACAUGAUUGGUUAAUGACGAUUCUCAACAGCAUCUGUAAGAUCUCGAGGCUUACUAGACG